UAGCUCAGUCAGUAGAGCAUGAGACUCCUAAUCUCAGAGUUGUGGGCCCAAGCCCCAC
rnacentral:tRNA from 1 species